GGCUAUGUAGCUCAGUGAUAGAGUGUGUGCUUAGUGUGCACGAGGUCCUGGGUUCAAUCUCCAGUACUUCCA
rnacentral:tRNA from 1 species